GACAGAGGGUGCAAACGUUGUUCGGAAUUACUGGGCGUAAAGCGCGUGUAGGCGGCAGCGUGUGCCGGGCGUGAAAUCCCACGGCUCAACCGUGGAAGUGCACCCGAAACUGCGCAGCUAGAGUCCUGGAGAGAAAGGCGGAAUACUUGGUGUAGAGGUGAAAUUCGUAGAUAUCAAGUGGAACACCGGUGGCGAAGGCGGCCUUCUGGACAGUGACUGACGCUGAGACGCGAAAGCGUGGGGAGCAAGCAGG
rnacentral:rRNA from 1 species